GAGGGUAUAGCUCAGUGACAGAGUAUGUGCUUAGCAUGCAAGAGGUCCUGAGUUUAAUCCCCAGUACCUCCA
rnacentral:tRNA from 1 species